rnacentral:rRNA from 1 species
GACGAACGCUGGCUGCGUGCUUAACACAUGCAAGUCGAACGGAAAGGCCCUGCUUUUGUGGGGUGCUCGAGUGGCGAACGGGUGAGUAACACGUGAGUAACCUGCCCUUGACUUUGGGAUAACUUCAGGAAACUGGGGCUAAUACCGGAUAGGAGCUCCUGCUGCAUGGUGGGGGUUGGAAAGUUUCGGCGGUUGGGGAUGGACUCGCGGCUUAUCAGCUUGUUGGUGGGGUAGUGGCUUACCAAGGCUUUGACGGGUAGCCGGCCUGAGAGGGUGACCGGCCACAUUGGGACUGAGAUACGGCCCAGACUCCUACGGGAGGCAGCAGUGGGGAAUAUUGCACAAUGGGCGGAAGCCUGAUGCAGCAACGCCGCGUGCGGGAUGACGGCCUUCGGGUUGUAAACCGCUUUCGCCUGUGACGAAGCGUGAGUGACGGUAAUGGGUAAAGAAGCACCGGCUAACUACGUGCCAGCAGCCGCGGUGAUACGUAGGGUGCGAGCGUUGUCCGGAUUUAUUGGGCGUAAAGGGCUCGUAGGUGGUUGAUCGCGUCGGAAGUGUAAUCUUGGGGCUUAACCCUGAGCGUGCUUUCGAUACGGGUUGACUUGAGGAAGGUAGGGGAGAAUGGAAUUCCUGGUGGAGCGGUGGAAUGCGCAGAUAUCAGGAGGAACACCAGUGGCGAAGGCGGUUCUCUGGGCCUUUCCUGACGCUGAGGAGCGAAAGCGUGGGGAGCGAACAGGCUUAGAUACCCUGGUAGUCCACGCUGUAAACGGUGGGUACUAGGUGUGGGGUCCACUCCACGGGUUCCGUGCCGUAGCUAACGCUUUAAGUACCCCGCCUGGGGAGUACGGCCGCAAGGCUAAAACUCAAAGGAAUUGACGGGGCCCCGCACAAGCGGCGGAGCAUGCGGAUUAAUUCGAUGCAACGCGUAGAACCUUACCUGGGUUUGACAUGGAUCGGGAGUGCUCAGAGAUGGGUGUGCCUCUUUUGGGGUCGGUUCACAGGUGGUGCAUGGCUGUCGUCAGCUCGUGUCGUGAGAUGUUGGGUUAAGUCCCGCAACGAGCGCAACCCUUGUUCACUGUUGCCAGCACGUUAUGGUGGGGACUCAGUGGAGACCGCCGGGGUCAACUCGGAGGAAGGUGGGGAUGACGUCAAGUCAUCAUGCCCCUUAUGUCCAGGGCUUCACGCAUGCUACAAUGGCUGGUACAGAGAGUGGCGAGCCUGUGAGGGUGAGCGAAUCUCGGAAAGCCGGUCUCAGUUCGGAUUGGGGUCUGCAACUCGACCUCAUGAAGUCGGAGUCGCUAGUAAUCGCAGAUCAGCAACGCUGCGGUGAAUACGUUCCCGGG